CCUACGGGAGGCAGCAGUGAGGAAUAUUGGUCAAUGGGAGAGAUCCUGAACCAGCCAAGCCGCGUGAGGGAAGACGGCCCUAUGGGUUGUAAACCUCUUUUGUCGGAGAACAAAACCCGGGUCGUGUCCCGGACUGCGUGUAUCCGAAGAAAAAGCAUCGGCUAACACCGUGCCCGCAGCCGCGGUAAUACGGAGGAUGCGAGCGUGAUCUGGAUGUUUUGGGUUAAAAGGGUGCGUAGGCGGUCCGUUAAGUCAGCGGUAAAAUUGCGGGGCUCAACCCCGUUGAGCCGUUGAAACUGGCAGACUUGAGGUGGCGAGAGGUACGCGGAAUGCGCGGUGUAGCGGUGAAAUGCAUAGAUAUCGCGAAGAACUCCGAUUGCGAAGGCAGCGUACCGGCGCCAAACUGACGCUGAGGCACGAAAGCGUGGGGAGCGAACAGGAUUAGAUACCCUUGUAGUC
rnacentral:rRNA from 1 species